AAGUCGUAACAAGGUUUCCGUAGGUGAACCUGCGGAAGGAUCAUCAAUAAUCCAAAUGACUGUUGGCCUCAAAAACCAAUGGUCUAACCUUCUUGUGAACUGUUUAAUGUUUUUUGGUUGGGAGUAUAACUGAGAUGUCGGCUUUUGUUGACGGAUCAACUCCCAAUUGAAUAUCUUUAUACCAACUAUUUUAUUUUUAAAGUUGAUUAUUUACAGGUAACUGUACUAAUAUAAAUACAACUUAUAGCGAUGGAUCUCUAGGCUCUG
rnacentral:misc_RNA from 1 species